rnacentral:rRNA from 1 species
UUCGCCUGUUUAUCAAAAACAUGGUCUUUUGUGUAUAUAAAAGAUCUGGCCUGCCCAAUGAUUGUUUUAAUGGCUGCAGUAUUUUGACUGUACAAAGGUAGCAUAAUCAUUUGUCUUUUAAUUGGAGACUGGUAUGAAUGGUUUGAUGAAAAAUAUACUUUCUUUACAUUAAAUUUAAUAAUUUAUCUUUUGGGUUAAAAUACCUAAAUUAUUAUGUAGGACGAGAAGACCCUAUAGAACUUUAAUUUGUAGUUUAUAUUAUUUUUUUAGUAAAAUAUAUUAUGUUAUAUACUAUAAAUUUUUAUUGGGGUGAUAAAUAAAAUAUAAUAACUUUAUUUAUAAUAUUCAGUUAUGUCUGUAUUUUUGAUCCUUUUUUUAAGAAAAAAAGAUUAAGUUACCUUAGGGAUAACAGCGUUAUUAUUUUGGAGAGUUCAUAUCGAUGAAAUAGUUUGCGACCUCGAUGUUGGAUUAAAAUAAGUAAUAGGAGGAGAAUUUUAUAUACUGGGUCUGUUCGACCUUUAUAUUUUUACA